GGUUGAUCCGUGUGCAAUAUGAGCCACUACUGCAUGUCAUCGAGGUCGAUGAUGCGAUCAAGCCGGAUGCUCCUGCUAUCCGGGCGGGCUCUGCC
rnacentral:sRNA from 1 species